UUAUUAAUACCCCCAAAACCACUUAUAUUAAACUAAACAAACCAUUUUUCCCCCUAAGUAUGGGCGACAGAAAAGGAACAUUAGAGCUAUAGAAAAAGUACCGCAAGGGAAUGCUGAAAAAGAAGUGAAACAACUCAGUAAAGUUUAAAAAAGCAGAGACUUACACUCGUACCUUUUGCAUCAUGAUUUAGUCAGUAAAAACAAGCAAAAAGUACUUUAGUUUGUUUUCCCGAAACUAAGUGAGCUACUCCAAGACAGCCUAAAAAUAGGGCUAACCCGUCUCUGUGGCAAAAGAGUGGGAUGAGCUUAGAGUAGAGGUGACAAACCUACCGAACUUAGUUAUAGCUGGUUGCUUGAGAAAUGAAUAGAAGUUCAGCUUUUUAGUUUCUCCCCCCAACCUGUUUAACUACCACCGAACUAAAGAAACCAAAAAAGUUAAUUAAAGGGGGUACAGCUCCUUUAAACAAGAUACAACUUCACCAGCCGGGUAAAGAUCAUACAUCACCAAGGUAAAAUGUUUUAGUGGGCCUAAAAGCAGCCACCUAUAAGAAAGCGUCAAAGCUCCUUCAUACCACCACCCCUAAAUUUAGAUAAUACAUUCUAAACCCGCUAAUUUUAUCAAGCCGCCCCAUGCUACCAUGGGGGUGAUUAUGCUAAAAUGAGUAAUAAGAAAAGCCACCUUUUCUCCUUGCACUCGUGUAAAUCGAAACGGACCCCCCAUCGAACAUUAAUCGGCCCCAAAAAAAGAGGGUAAUGAAUUAUUAACCCCAAUAACAAGAAAAGCACCCAGAUAUUAACCGUUAACCUCACACUAGUAUGCUUAUAAGGAAAGACUAAAAGAAAAAGAAGGAACUCGGCAAAUACAAGCCUCGCCUGUUUACCAAAAACAUCGCCUCUUGAAAACUAAGUAUAAGAGGUCC
rnacentral:rRNA from 1 species